rnacentral:rRNA from 1 species
CAAGUCGAACGCGAAGGUCCCGCAAGGGAUUGGUAGAGUGGCAAACGGGUGAGUAACACGUGGGUGACCUGCCUUCGAGUGGGGGAUAACGUUUCGAAAGGAACGCUAAUACCGCAUGACAUCCUGCCUUUGAAGAGGUGGAGAUCAAAGCCGGGGAUCGCAAGACCUGGCGCUUGAAGAGGGGCCCGCGCCCGAUUAGCUUGUUGGUGGGGUAACGGCUCACCAAGGCAACGAUCGGUAGCCGGCCUGAGAGGGCGGACGGCCACACUGGGACUGAGACACGGCCCAGACUCCUACGGGAGGCAGCAGUGGGGAAUUGUUCGCAAUGGGCGCAAGCCUGACGACGCAACGCCGCGUGGAGGAUGAAGAUCUUCGGGUCGUAAACUCCUUUCGAUCGAGACGAACGGCCUCCGGGUAAAUAAUCCGGAGGAGUGACGGUACCGAGAGAAGAAGCCCCGGCUAACUCCGUGCCAGCAGCCGCGGUAAUACGGGGGGGGCAAGCGUUGUUCGGAAUUACUGGGCGUAAAGGGCUCGUAGGUGGCCAACUAAGUCGGACGUGAAAUCCCUCGGCUCAACCGGGGAACUGCGUCCGAUACUGGAUGGCUUGAAUCCGGGAGAGGGAUGCGGAAUUCCAGGUGUAGCGGUGAAAUGCGUAGAUAUCUGGAGGAACACCGGUGGCGAAGGCGGCAUCCUGGACCGGUAUUGACACUGAGGAGCGAAAGCCAGGGGAGCAAACGGGAUUAGAUACCCCGGUAGUCCUGGCCCUAAACGAUGAAUGCUUGGUGUGGCGGGUAUCGAUCCCUGCCGUGCCGAAGCUAACGCGUUAAGCA